rnacentral:rRNA from 1 species
CUACGGGGCGCACCAGUGAGGAAUAUUGCGCAAUGGGGGGAACCCUGAUGCAGCAACGCCGCGUGGAGGAUGACGCAUUUCGGUGUGUAAACUCCUUUUAUAUGUCAAGAAAAUGACGGUAGCAUAUGAAUAAGCACCGGCUAACUCCGUGCCAGCAGCCGCGGUAAUACGGAGGGUGCAAGCGUUACUCGGAAUCACUGGGCGUAAAGGACGCGUAGGCGGGUUGGAAAGUCCGGUGUGAAAUCCUACAGCUUAACUGUAGAACUGCACUUGAAACUUCUAAUCUAGAGUAUGGGAGGGGGAGAUGGAAUUAGUGGUGUAGGGGUAAAAUCCGUAGAUAUCACUAGGAAUACCUAAAGCGAAGGCGAUCUCCUGGAACAUUACUGACGCUAAGGCGUGAAAGCGUGGGGAGCAAACAGGAUUAGAUACCCGCGUAGUC